UCGGAGGUGGUGCAACUUGACAUUGCUCAAUCACUAAAGCCAUAUAUGUACUUCAACUUAAUAAAAUGGUCGUCUCUUCUAAUGAAUCAAGAGUGAUAUAUUCUCUCUAUUAAUAAGGGAGAAUAAGCACACACCAGGUCAACAUGCUUGCCUGUCCUUAUUGAGGGUAUAAUUAUCAUUACACCUAGCCUUAUCGGGGGUAUUAUUAUCUUUGAGAAAAAGAUUAACAUCAAUGGAUUCCCUACGUCUGCUGGGUUAAAUGCCUGAGAGACGACCACGUGCUACUUCGGAUUUUGGGUAAACGGUGGAGAAUCGAAAGUUUUAGGAUUAUUCUACUGAAAGCUUUGAUUCAACUCACACACUCUUUCAUCUCUCUCUAUUUUCACCGUGGUUCUUCGACUUUAUCACUGUUGCUGAUUUGCAUUUUAUCUUUUGGUGAGUUCAAUUCAAUUUUUUUCUUUUGAUUUUGUCAUAGUUGUUGACGGAGGUAACAGUUAUGGCUGACCACGACCUGAUUCGCCAUGGAUGGUGGUUUUGAUAACUUCAAUGUUAUUUUGGAGAAUAAAUUAUUUCUUUGAUUUACAAAAAAGCUAGAAUAAACCCAGUUAGUAUAAAGUAGGUUAUCAUUGAAAUAGCCUUCUGUAAAGUUAGCGUGUGCUCUGCUUCCCUGUUUUUCCACUUGCCUUGAAAAUAGGCUACUUUUUUUAUAGGUCAUUUGAGGUAUUUUUCGCUCUUGGGUUUACUGUUGAUUUAUGAUUAGAUUUAUGGCAUGCAAUUGGUUCGUAAUAUUUGCAGCAACCCUGAAGUCAGGUUCCCCUUUUAAGCCGUCUACCCUCUUUUCAAUCUUUAGACAUCUUCGUUUUUUCCUUUCUUUGAUUUUGUGGUAUAUAUGAUUAUCCCAUGUCAAUUAGAUACAUGUAACUUUUUAAAAAAAAUAUAUAAAGAGUAUGAUUGAUUAAUUUUUAUUUUAAAUCCACAAUUUGUAAUAAACUGGGUCCACCUGGAUAGAUGGGAUAUGAAAAUAGAAAAUUAAUCUUAUCCGACAUCCAAAUAGCUUAUAAUUCCGGCUUAGUUGAGUGGUCAAUUUGGGGAUUCAGAAUUUGAUUUUCUAUAUUUAAGAUUGAUUAUUUGUAUUUGUCAGUGGCUUUUUAAACAAAUACUAAUACAGUGUUCGAGCCAAAGUUGCUAGGUUUAAAUUAACCCAGAAGUGAUACAUUAGAUCCGCACCCGAUAAGUUUCUUAGAAUAUUUUCAACUAUACAAUAAAUAGGGAAAACCUCUAGAAUGUAACUGGUAGGACUUAUAGAGCAUCAAUAACGUCAUCUAAGCAAUCAAAAGCGCCCAAAUUUAAGUUGUGAUGUACUACAUUGCAUUUUUCUACCCGUGGCAGAGUCUGGAAUACUAUGAAGGAGAUUAUAAAAAGUAUAAAUGUCACUCCUGAGAUUACAACGUGCAGCCUAAAUUAAUUUUUGUCAUGGUUGUUAAUGGAGGUUAGAGUUAUGGGUGGCCACAGGUCGAUUCAUCAUGGAUGGUGGUUUUGAUACCUUGAAACUUAUUAUUUCCUUUUUAUUGGUUUUUAGGUGAAGAAAAGCAGCAAGUGAAGUAAACUUAUAAUAACCCAACUAGCAGUUCUAUUUCUUUCCAAUAAUAGUAUUAUUGUGUUGUUGAUUUUCACUUAAAAUAUAGAAAGGAUGACAUGUGGCUAGAGAUGUGUAGAACACUAGAGUUUCUCAUUGAUAUUUCACGACUCACAAGCUAAGCACAUCCGUGACUAAUCUGAUGUAACUUGUAGUAGUAAUUGAUUUCUAUUUUUUGUAUCUGAUACGAGUCUCUUCUAACUAUUACAAUAGAGGGAAAUAGACAACUUUUGAGGUUGCUCUCAAUUCAUUGACGUGCAUGUCUUUGCGGUGACAAACGGAGUACCUAUUUUUGCUGCCCUUAGUCACACAUCUCUGCGAAUGGGGUGGUCAAUCCAAAAUUUGGGUGGCUUUUCAUAUUGUGAUAUUAUUGAUUCCCUUGCCCAAAUUGUAUUGUGAUUGUUAUUUGGGUGAGGAAGAAUAUAAAAGUAUAAAGAGUGAUGCGGUGCAUAAUUUUGAGAGUGUUAAUGCACGAAGGGUGAUGUCGUGCCGAUAUUGUGAGGUAAAAUCAUGAAGGGUGAUGCCGUGUCGCACGAUGUACAAUGUCGUGCAAUGAUAUGAGUGAUAAUGCAUGCAGGAUAAUUCCGUGUCACGAUUAUGUGAGGUAAAAGCACGAAGGGUGAUGCCAUGUCAAUUAUAUUGAUUCUUAUGGUGAGGACGAGAGUAAAAGCACGAAGGGUGAUGCCGUGCACUUGUCUUUGAUUUCCUUAUUCUUGCUUACAGUUGAAUUUUCGUGUUCCUUUCACUUCUUUACUGAGAUUUUGUUUGUACAUGAUAUUCCCCGCAACAUGUUUCCCCUUCCCAUCUUUAACUGAUAGUUUUUGUCAUUAUUACUUGUUGUAUAUGAUAUAGCUGCAUAAGUUAAUUUGGUAGUCUUGUCCUAGCCUCGUCACUACUUCGCCGAGGUUAGGCUAGGCACUUACAAGCACAUGGGGUCAGUUGUGCUGAUACUACACUCUGCACUCUAUGCAGAUCCCGAUGCUGCAACUUUUGGAACAUAGUGAGGUUGAUGCCUUCAAUCCAUCAGACGACCCGAGGUAUUCCUGCAGCAUCCGCAGGCCUUGGUGUCACCUUCCUAUCUAGUUUUUCUACUGUUCUUUACUAUUUCAGAGGCAGUCGAACCCUAUUUGUAGCAUUCUUAGAUUGUCGGUGAGAUUGUGACACCAUUUCUGGGUAGCUUAUGUUUAUGGAUUUGUAUCGAUAUUAUUUUAAUUGUUACAUUUCAUUCUUCUGAUUUAUUAUUUCCGCUGUUUAUAAAAUGUUAA
rnacentral:lncRNA from 1 species